UACGUAGGGUGCAAGCGUUGUCCGGAAUUAUUGGGCGUAAAGAGCGUGUAGGCGGCCAGGUAGGUCCGCUGUGAAAACUCGAGGCUUAACCUCGAGAUGUCGGUGGAAACCAUCUGGCUAGAGUCCGGAAGAGGAGAGUGGAAUUCCUGGUGUAGCGGUGAAAUGCGCAGAUAUCAGGAAGAACACCCGUGGCGAAGGCGGGUCUCUGGACAGUUCCUGACGCUGAGGCACGAAGGCCAGGGGAGCAAACGGG
rnacentral:rRNA from 1 species